rnacentral:rRNA from 1 species
CGGGAAUUUUGGGCAAUGGGCGAAAGCCUGACCCAGCAACGCUGCGUGAGGGAUGAAGUAUUUCGGUAUGUAAACCUCGAAAGAAUGGGAAGAAUAAAUGACGGUACCAUUUAUAAGCUCCGGCUAACUACGUGCCAGCCGCCGCGGUAAUACGUAGGGAGCAAGCGUUGUUCGGAUUUACUGGGCGUAAAGGGCGCGUAGGCGGGGCGGUAAGUCACUUGUGAAAUCUCUGAGCUUAACUCAGAACGGCCAAGUGAUACUGCUGUGCUAGAGUGCGAAAGAGGCAACCGGAGUUCUUGGUGUAG